rnacentral:lncRNA from 1 species
UCGGGUUUUUCUUUGCUAUUCUUGUUUUUCAACCGAGUGCCUUUCUUUGGCCAGUACUUCUUAUGAACCCUCGAGUUUAUUUUCUUUUCUCUUUUUUUCUCUCGAUCAUUCUCUUUCUUUUUUCGCACUCACCUUGGCUUUUGAAACUUAUGGGAUUUUACCCCAAACUUAUAAUUUCAACACAACUUAAUAAUAUCAACUUGACUCCGAAUAGGGUAAGGAAGUGUUUUGGCCACGGGGUACAUUUACGGGGUUAAACAAACAAUGGAUACAGACUCAAAUGGGGUUACCAAAGGAUAAUAUUAACGGGAUGGCUAGAAAGGCUCAGGGGUAUAAUCAAACAACAUGCCUCAGUGUGUGUAUACAUGAAGUGAAACUCCUAGAGAACCUACGCAAAGUC